GGCAUUCUUCUUUGUCCCUUUCCCCCUCCAUGCACAGCUUUCAGCCAUUGUAGAUUGCAACAUUGAUGAGGUUGGGGAGACACAGGCUGCAGUAAGGAGGUCACUCUAUACAAAUAAUAGUACUUUUGUAAAUCUAUCUCUGGACACUUGGUUGUAAAUAGUUAGAUCCAAGGAUCUAAAAGAAAUUAUCUAUAUAUCAUCAGUAUUAUUAAUACAGUGCAUCAACUCUCACAGUCACAGCACUGUGCCCAAUUCUUUAGCAUCAUUUCAGUAGAUUCAUGCCACACUUAGAUCAUAGCGUGGGGAAAGCCAGCAAAUUGUAAUCAUAUUUUUUUUUUCUCCUGAAAUUUUGAUAUCAUUCCUGGUGUGUGAAUCUCUGGAGAACAUUUUCCAGAGCCUUGUAGUUUGCAAUAGUCAGUGAAUAUCUAUCACCUAUACAUUGAUCAGAAACCUUUCUACAUACACUGGCAACGUGAAAGAAAGUGUUUGACAGUUUUCCACUG